rnacentral:lncRNA from 1 species
CUGAAAUAUGUGCUGAUUGUUUUUGAAGUAGGAACUUGAAAGCCUUGUUUGUUUGCUGUUUUACAGUAUUUGUUGGGCUUUCCCUCUACUUGUGGGACUUGCCCUUUCUUGGCCCAUUUGGGUCCAACCCACUUAAAAGCCCCAAGUCCAUUCCAAUAUAAAGGCAGAAAACGGGGCUUCAUUUCUAGACACACAAAAUUACAACAAAGGCAGAGAGCGGACGAGAGAGAGAGACUUCGGUUCUUCAGCUUCUUCUUGCCAAAGAUGGAGUCUCGUUUGUGGUCCGAUUAAGCGGAAAUUUUUGUAUGUUAUUCUUGGCGCAAAGGGCUACGUUUUGACUGGAGCCGAUCAUCUAGAUUCCUCUCCAUUUCUCUGGGCCGAACACACUAGUUUAGUGAGAUUUUCUACUUAUUAUUGUGUGUAUUUAUUUUGGAUGUUGUUGUUGGUAUCCAAGAACCAUUUGUGUUUUUGAUGCAUUGGUAACCUCUAGAUUGUGAUUUGGAGAAGGUUAACUGUAUAUCCCAUUAUUUUGAUAGUGGAUAGUUUUUAUUAGACUAGGUCUCAGGGUUUUUCCUUCACACUGAAGGGUUUUCCUAGUGAACAAAUCAUUUGUGUUCUAUCUUUAAAUUCCUACAAGUGUGUGUGAGUUGGAGUUGGAUAUUAUUGCCACAUUUUAAUUCUGCUUAUUGAAAGGGUUGAAAUUGUUUCCGUUGCUUAGUUGUGUUAUUGGUUUGACCCCAACAUUAUUGGAUUGAGAGUGAUAGCAAAGGAUCAAGACAGAUCUGUGCAGAUAAUCAGUACAAGAAAACAGACGGCCACUUAUAUUUAGAAGAAACUUGGCAUUGAUCUCGUUCUCUAUGCAAAAACAUUCGGUGAAUCAAAAGCAUCUAUGUGGAAAACAUAGGCGAGGUGUGAAAAUGAACCAACCUUGUAUCUACCAGGAUACAACUUCAGGUACCCAGAAAAGAUUCCUGUCUUCAAUUUGACCAUCUUUCUCUGCAAUUCAAUAUUGCACGUCAUGCUACCAAUCAAGAACACAUAACAGAAUCGAAUUUUUUGCCUGUAAAUUUUGCGAUAAUAAGAUAUCUAAUUUUGCAAUGUAACUCUGGUUGAAUCCGAGAUACAUGCAAAUUGAAACGUACUGUCUAAG